rnacentral:rRNA from 1 species
UACGAAGGGUGCAAGCGUUGUCCGGAAUUAUUGGGCGUAAAGAGCUCGUAGGCGGUUUGUCGCGUCUGCUGUGAAAACGCGAGGCUCAACCUCGCGCCUGCAGUGGGUACGGGCAGACUAGAGUGCGGUAGGGGAGAUUGGAAUUCCUGGUGUAGCGGUGGAAUGCGCAGAUAUCAGGAGGAACACCGAUGGCGAAGGCAGAUCUCUGGGCCGUAACUGACGCUGAGGAGCGAAAGCAUGGGGAGCGAACAGG